rnacentral:rRNA from 1 species
GACGAACGCUGGCGGCGUGCUUAACACAUGCAAGUCGAACGGAAAGGCCCUGCUUUUGUGGGGUGCUCGAGUGGCGAACGGGUGAGUAACACGUGAGUAACCUGCCCUUGACUUUGGGGUAACUUCAGGAAACUGGGGCUAAUACCGGAUAGGAGCUCCUGCUGCAUGGUGGGGGUUGGAAAGUUUCGGCGGUUGGGGAUGGACUCGCGGCUUAUCAGCUUGUUGGUGGGGUAGUGGCUUACCAAGGCUUUGACGGGUAGCCGGCCUGAGAGGGUGACCGGCCACAUUGGGACUGAGAUACGGACCAGACUCCUACGGGAGGCAGCAGGGGGGAAUAUUGCACAAUGGGCGGAAGCCUGAUGCAGCAACGCCGCGUGCGGGAUGACGGCCUUCGGGUUGUAAACCGCUUUCGCCUGUGACGAAGCGUGAGUGACGGUAAUGGGUAAAGAAGCACCGGCUAACUACGUG